rnacentral:rRNA from 1 species
AACGAACGCUGGCGGCAUGCUUAACACAUGCAAGUCGAACGCCCCGCGAGGGGCUUGGCAGACGGGUGGGUAACGCGUCGGAACAUACCCUUUUCGACAGCAUAACUCUGGGAGACUGGAAUUAAUACCAUAUACUCGCUACGGGGGAAAGAUUUAUCGGGGAAGGAUUGACCCGCUUUGGAUUCGCUAGUUGGUGGGUUAAAGGCCUCCCUAGGCGACGAUCCAUAGCUGGUCUGAGAGGAUGAUCCGACACAUUGGGACUGAGACACGGCCCAAACUCCUGGGGGAGGCAGCAGUGGGGAAUAUUGGACAAUGGGCGAAAGCAUGAUCCAGUCAUGCCGCGUGAGUGAUGAAGGCAUGAGGGUUGUAAAGCUGUUUCACAGGUGAAGAUAAUGACGGUAGCCGGAGAAGAAGCACCGGCUAACUUCGUG